rnacentral:rRNA from 1 species
CAGUCGCCGCGGUAAUACGUAGGUGGCAAGCGUUGUCCGGAAUUAUUGGGCGUAAAGGGUGCGUAGGCGGUUUCGUAAGUCUGAUGUGAAAUCUAUGGGCUCAACCCAUAGUCUGCAUCGGAAACUGCGAGGCUUGAGAGUGGGAGAGGUGAGUGGAAUUUCCGGUGUAGCGGUGAAAUGCGUAGAUAUCAGAAGGAACACCUGUGGCGAAAGCGGCUCACUGGACCAUUUCUGACGCUGAUGCACGAAAGCGUGGGGAGCGAACAGGAUUAGAUACCCGCGUAGUCCCUGUCUCUUAUAC